rnacentral:misc_RNA from 1 species
UACAGAGGGUGCGAGCGUUAAUCGGAUUUACUGGGCGUAAAGCGUGCGUAGGCGGCUUUUUUAGUCGGAUGUGAAAUCCCCGAGCUUAACUUGGGAAUUGCAUUCGAUACUGGGAAGCUAGAGUAUGGUAGAGGGAAGUGGAAUUUCCGGUGUAGCGGUGAAAUGCGUAGAUAUCGGAAGGAACACCAGUGGCGAAGGCGACUUCCUGGGCCGAUCCUGACGCUGAGGUUCGAAAGCUCGGGGAGCAAACAGG